GCCCAGGUGCUGAAAUUGGUAGACAGGCAUGAUUGAGGGUCAUGUGUCUUACGGACGUGCGGGUUCGAAUCCCGCUCUGGGCACAA
rnacentral:tRNA from 1 species